UACGGAGGGUGCAAGCGUUACUCGGAAUCACUGGGCGUAAAGAGCGUGUAGGCGGAUAGAUAAGUUGGGAGUGAAAUCCUAUGGCUUAACCAUAGAACUGCUUCCAAAACUGUCUAUCUAGAAUAUGGGAGAGGUAGAUGGAAUUUCUGGUGUAGGGGUAAAAUCCGUAGAGAUCAGAAGGAAUACCGAUUGCGAAGGCGAUCUACUGGAACAUUAUUGACGCUGAGACGCGAAAGCGUGGGGAGCAAACAGGAUUAGAUACCCUGGUAGUCCACGCCCUAAACGAUGUACACUAGUUGUUGUGAGGCUCGACCUUGCAGUAAUGCAGUUAACACAUUAAGUGUACCGCCUGGGGAGUACGGUCGCAAGAUUAAAACUCAAAGGAAUAGACGGGGACCCGCACAAGCGGUGGAGCAUGUGGUUUAAUUCGACGAUACGCGAAGAACCUUACCUGGUCUUGACAUAGUAAGAAGAUUUCAGAGAUGAGAUUGUGUCUGCUUGCAGAAACUUAUAUACAGGUGCUGCACGGCUGUCGUCAGCUCGUGUCGUGAGAUGUUGGGUUAAGUCCCGCAACGAGCGCAACCCUCGUGAUUAGUUGCUAACAGUUCGGCUGAGAACUCUAAUCAGACUGCCUACGCAAGUAGGAGGAAGGUGAGGACGACGUCAAGUCAUCAUGGCCCUUACGACCAGGGCUACACACGUGCUACAAUGGGGUAUACAAAGAGCAGCGGUACGGUGACGUGGAGCAAAUCUUAAAAAUGCCUCCCAGUUCGGAUUGUAGUCUGCAACUCGACUACAUGAAGUUGGAAUCGCUAGUAAUCGUAGAUCAGCUACGCUACGGUGAAUACGUUCCCGGGUCU
rnacentral:rRNA from 1 species